UUAUAUGCAUCAAGGUGACAGGUGAUGGCAUGGUUAUGGAUUAACUCACCAAGGAAAUGAGUGUGGAAAGAAGAAUGCAGAAAUCUGAGGACUAGAGCCUGGAGAUGGGGAGCUUCGAGCUCAGAGGAAGAAGAGGAUCUUCAUCAUGGGGAGACAUCAGCUGGAUAUUGAGAUGGAAGGAUGACUAUGAGUAUGAGCUAUUAUAGAAACCAUGGUUCCUUAAGCCAUGGCUUAAGAUGAGUUCUGCAUUGGACCUGAGACUGGAGUUUUAAGCCAUAUUGGACUGAGUCUUUAAAUAACCAAAAGGGAGCAGAGUGUUAUGGACUCUGACCAUGAUGUUGUGAAGAGGUACAAAGGAGACAUUUGUCAUGGCACAGAUGAAGACUGUGAUGGGUGGCAGGUUAUGUUUAUACCUGACCAAGCUCAAUGCUCAACAGAUAAGUUAAAUUUAUCCAUCACGAAAUCUAUCCCUGAAUCCAUUGUUCCACCUUUCCCUGCAGUCUCAGAGGAAUUUCUUUUUCUUUUAAAGUGAAUCCCUGGCUGGGCAC
rnacentral:lncRNA from 1 species